rfam:Oryza meridionalis cultivar OR44 (W2112) chromosome 3, whole genome shotgun sequence.
AAUAAGUACAGUCAUGAGUUUCUGUGGUCAAUUACAAUCGUCCGUCUUAUUUGAAAUUUUUUUUAUGAUUAGUAUUUUUAUUGUUAUUAGAUUAUAAUACAUGAAUAAUGCUUUACGCGUGAUUUUUUUUAGCUUUUUCAAAAAAAUUCAAAUAAGACGAUUAAAAUUGAUACGGAAACUCAUAGCUGCACUUAUU